rnacentral:misc_RNA from 1 species
ACAACGAGCGGAAUACACAAUAAAAACUGUGUUAAAAUAAGAAAAAAUCUAUGAGCAUUUUUAAUAAUAUUGGAAAUAUUUAUCAAAAGCUAAAUUAACUAUAGUGAAAAAAUUGUAAAAAGGGGAAAACGGAAAAUAUUAACAUUUACAUGUUGAAUGAGUAAACCCAGUAAAGCGUGAAGAGUUUUUGUUUCUCAUUGCUACUGACUUGUACAUUUUUGUACGUUGUGCGGGUGGAUACAAACAAAAAUAUGUAUACAUAUUUAUAUACAAUUAAAUUACUUCAAUACCAAUUAUAUAAUAUUAGUGACGCGACCUAAAUAAAGUAUACAAAAAAUACCCGAAAUUUAAUUGGAUAUAUCCUAAUGUGUUUUACCACAAGCGCAAGUACUAAUCAAUAGCAUAUAGCCAUACAUAUGUAUAUAGUGUGUAUCCAGGAAUAUAUGCGAUGUACAGUUCAUAGCUUAGCCAAAGCGAAAUUUUUGUACACAAAAUGGGAAUAAAUGCAUAUGUAGCGGUUAUAUAGCCGAUUGAAGUGCAUUUGCCAAAUUUUAACCCAUUUAGAAUAAAGUAAAGAAUUCUUAAUUGAAUGGGAGUAUGGCCACGAUCAAUGCAAAUCCUAUCAGUAGCAGUUGCCAAAGUAUCACCUCGGCUGGCGGCCCGAGUGCUGGCAGUUUGGGUACGAUUGUUAUUGGCAGCGCGACACCAGCCCAACAACGUUCAACAAGCCACUAUGUCAACGGUACUGGCAGUUUGGGUCGUCUUAAGUAUCACAAUAAACACAAGAGUCUGGAUGCCAGUGAUGAGGAGCUCGAUUAUUCGCAGAUGUCACAGUCAACGCAUGUCAUUGGACGUGUCAGAUCGGAACGUUUUUUAGCAACGAAACCCGAUGAAGAUCGUCGUAGACGUACCAUUAUCAUUGAAAAGAAGAAUGACUCGUACGGCUUCACACUGCAGAGCUAUGGCAUUCAUUAUAAGAAGGAUCAAGAAGUAGAAAUGAUCACUUAUGUCGAUUAUGUGGAAUAUGAUGGACCGGCUUAUAAGGCCGGUAUGCGUGAAGGUGAUGUUAUACUCUCGAUAAACGGUAGUGAUAUGGAGAAAGCUGAUCAUAAGACAAUUGUCGAUUUUAUAAAGAGCUGUGAUACGCGCAUGCGUAUGGUUGUGCUUUUUGAAGACUGUGUGCGUAAGGUGGAUCUCCACAUGCGCUAUAUACAAUUACAAAACUUAUUGCACAGCAAAAUGAAUGAACUGGAGCGAAUUUGCCUGCGAGAACGUGAACUACUCGAAGGCAAGUGGAAGACACAUAGCUUACCAGCGCGCAAAAAAGCCAGCACGUCACCGACUGACGCCGAAAGCCGUACAUCGCCAACAGAUGGUGAAAAUUUGCCGUACUAUCGACCGGCACUUUCCACCGAAGAUGUUCCCAGCAUGGCAAGAUUUCAGUCGCAACAGCAGGCUAUCAUACCGCCACCAGCGCAAUUUACACUCACCUAUCAUUACUUGGAUCCGACCUAUCGUUAUGUAAUGAAACCGGUCACAUCCAAUAGCAGCGGCGAGCAUUUAGCUACCUCCAGCUGUGGUAAUGAAGGCAUACAGCGUAGUCCAAGUGAUCAGCACUUUAUUUUACGUCAUACAGAAUCGGUUGACACGGCCACAGGCUUGGCGAGUCUUUCCCAUCGCAGCGUCUUGAGUCAAGCACAGAGCGGAGCCAGCGCACAAGCUCCAGUACCGCCACCGCGAACAUGUGAAAAGCAUAAGCCGCCAAAUAAACAGCACUCAGUGGAACAACAGCAUUACCAACAACAACAACAACAGCUGCAGCAGCAGCAACAUCAACAAACCACAACGCCAGUUAUGUCACAAAAGGCACACAAGUCCUCAAAGCAUUGUUAUGGCCAUUCGUGUAAUCCCUGUAUCGGUCACUUUCGGUGGAAAUCGGCAGAAAAAGCAGCGGCUACUGCUGCGGCUACAAUGGGUGCUGCUGGCGGAAUAACCAUCGCAGGGGGCAAUGGUAAUGGCAAUGGCGACAAUAUCAGUUUAGAUGCCUAUGAUCUGGCAAGCCCGUGCUGUGAUGCACAUUGUGUGCCAACGCGACGUCGUACACGUCAUAAGGAACAUACACACAAGCAUAAACAUCGUGAUCGCGAGCGUGAUUCCAAGGAACAUCCAUCUAGACCUAAGUCGCAGACUUCACACACCUCGCCGGGUAUCACGCGUCAUCACAUGCAUCAUCAUCAUCAUCAUACCCCACAAGAAAUCCUGCAACAGCAGCCACAGCAACAACAACAGCAGCAACAUCAUCACCACCAUCAUCUUUCACCACAACAACAUCAACAGCAACACCAACAUCUUCAACAGUCACAGCCCCAGCCACGCGGUAAUUGCGAUUCUCAAAAUGGCAGCAUGCGCUCUCGUUAUUAUGAUUUGACCACCGGUCUAAUGAGCCACUGCAGUCUACAUUCUUGUACAUCGAGUGAAUUCGCGCCAGCCGACUCUACUUCAUAUACCACAUCGCUUAGUACGGACACCUUGUACUGGGAUCCAAAGAGUGAGCAUUCAGCAUCUCGACAACACUCCACCAAAUCUCGCCAGUCUUACCAACAAUACCCGCAACAACAUGCACAACAGUCGCAACAACAGCCGCAUACACAACACCAUCAACAGCCAACGGCGCACGUACACGGCGUCUAUCAACAACGUUAUCACAUUACUGCCACACAAGUGCAACCUUCGCAAAUCUAUCCACAAGCCACAUACGUGCAAAAGCCGAAGUCUUGGGAUAAUCUGACAACUAAAGCGGUGGGCGGUUACGGCUUUGGCUAUGGCUACUUGGACACGGUGACCGUAAAACCCGCUAUGAAACUACAAAUCGCACAACAACGUCACUCCAUACCACGUAAAAAUCCCUACGGUCGCUACUCCACUUACACCGAUGUAGAAAACUAUGCGCCACCGCCAUCCCAAUUCGUCGAAGAACUUAUUACGACAACGACUACAACGAAGAUUAUGGCUAAAUCAACGGAAGAACUGAUUGCAGCACCGGUGCCGCAAACAACGUGUGAUUGUAUGACGAAGCAACAACAACAAGCCCUCAAGGCGGCACAAUAUCAAAUUAAUCAGGCGGCAAAAGUUUCGCAUCACAACAACUGUCAAAUGGGCUACUAUUCACAUUUACCACGUCCGACAUUGGACGCCGGCACUUCCACAGUGCAGACGACAACAACUGGUGUUUCGGGAGAUGUGGCGACAGUAUCCGAAGUGACACGAUUGUAGGCCACGCUCGUUUAGACCAAUCAAAUAGGAAAGUGAAAGUUGGUCUAAAUAAGAAAAGGGCAAACAAAAAUUUAGUUAAGGUCGGCCAAGGCAAAUUUAGAAGCUUAUUGAAGACUUUCAGAUGAAACUCUGGUGUUGUAGUUGAGUUCAGGACUACGGACUUAAUAUCGCCACAAUUUUGUAGAUACAAGCUAUGUGGCUUAAAUAAGAUAAUCUUAAGCACAAUAUAUUGGUGUGACUGGCAUUAUUCAAUUGGAGUUUUUUAAUUCCGAUAAUAGGUCUGUAAAAGCUGGACUUAAAAAUCAUCGGCGUUUUAUUUCUAUUUGUUGCUUAACAUCGCGCUUAUAUGGAAUAUAGAUUAAAAAUUUAUGAAAGCUAAGUUACACAGAAGGAACCAAACAAUUUUAUACUUCAAACUGCUGCAAGUCUGUUGAUAAUCUGCGGCAUAAGUGUGCUCUAAGGAAUAUACGAUAGGAGCGCAAUACAAUGGAACUAAAUAAAUAUAUGAAAUAAACGUGUAGAAUCAUUUCUAGGAACCCAUACAAAUUUGAAGAGGAAAAAAGUGCUAAAAAUUUUUUAUAACAAGGCAGUAAUACAUUAGUUCAGUUAAUACUUAGUUAGGUUACGUUGAAAUCCCAAAUCAUAGUUUUGAAAAAAUAUAUAUAUAUGGAAAAUAGUCCUUUUUUUAAAUUUUUUUUUGCCUUACUUGAGUGUCUAUGAAGAUAAUGCCAAAUUCCAUUUCGUACAAAGUUCUCUGCAUAAGUACUGAAGGAAAUUUUUAUUGAAGAAGGGUUUAAAAGAAAAGUAAACCGUACUUAUGACUAUGUUCAUAUAUAUGUAUGCAUAACCUUAGAUAUAAAACAUUAAUGAGACAAAGAAACUAUAAAACGUACAGCCAAAUAUAUUGACAUAAAUAUUAUAUUGCACAAUAUACUGAAAUUUUACUCAUCCGUUACAUACAACGAUAUUACAAGAAAACGAACCGUUACACGAGUCAAGUUUUAAGCAUUUUUUAGCGAAACUCUCGAACAGAUUUUAAAACGUAAAAAAAAAGACUCGAAUAGUAAACAAUGCAAUAACAAAUUUGUAGAAGUUUAUAUGUACUUAUAUGCAUAUUGUGUUUAUGUAUGCUUGUGUAGAGUAGAGCUGUGGGCAGUUUUUUAGGCCAACCGAAGUAAUAAUAAUAAUAAUAGAGUUCCGAAACAAUUACUUUAAAGUUCAAACAGCCAAUUUAAAGAUACAAUGUAUGCCAGCAACAAAACGAUUUCGUUCAUACAGUGAGGGAAAAAAUAGUUUUUAUAGUUUUUUUUUAAUUACGGUAACUUAACUAUAGUUAUUGUAUAUACAUACAUAUGUAUUACGUAUGAAAUGUUACAACUAGUGCUCAUAUUUAACCAAAGAUAAAUAAAAUUUUAACAUAGAAGUUCAAGAGUAACUUUAUAAGCCUGCACUAAACUGCGAAUACGUUUCAGUAGUAUUAACCAAAAAUUUAAAAUAUAUACAAUUUAUUUAAUAUUUUGCCCAUAAAUUAUAGCUAUUAUCUUUUUUAUUGAAGACUGAAUUGCAUGCCCAUCUUUAGGUCUACUUAAAACUACUAAGUUUAAAAUUUUUUUGUUGCAACAACUUUCUCAAGAUUUUAACAGAAUAAUUAAAAGCAAAUGUUUUUAUUUGAAUGAAUUGUGAUAUUACAUAGCACAUACUGAAAUAUUAUAUACUUGUAAACUUUCUAUGAUUAUGUGUCUAUAGAGGCGAGAUCUUCUUAAUCUUAUGUGUGAAGCAGCAAUUUCUGCAUUUAGUCUAACAAUAUAAGCACAAGAAUAUAAUAAUAUUGAGGAAUAAAAAAAAUAUAUA